UACGAAGGGGGCUAGCGUUGCUCGGAAUCACUGGGCGUAAAGCGCACGUAGGCGGAUCUUUAAGUCAGGGGUGAAAUCCCAAGGCUCAACCUUGGAACUGCCUUUGAUACUGGGGAUCUCGAGUCCGGAAGAGGUUGGUGGAACUGCGAGUGUAGAGGUGAAAUUCGUAGAUAUUCGCAAGAACACCAGUGGCGAAGGCGGCCAACUGGUCCGGAACUGACGCUGAGGUGGCGAAAGCGUGGGGAGCAAACAGG
rnacentral:rRNA from 1 species